UAAGGUAGCAUAAUCAUUUGUUUUUUAAUUAAGAACUAGAAUGAAAGACUUAACAUUUAAGUUCCUUUAUUUAUUUCUAAAUUAUUAACUUAUACUAAAUAUAAAAAUAUAUUUAUAAUAAAAAAAGACGACAAGACCCUAUUAAAUUUUACUUAUUGUUAUGCUGGGGAAGCUAAUUAAAAAUAAUUUUAAUAAAAUAUAAAUAAAUAUCU
rnacentral:rRNA from 1 species